GGCGGGGUGCUAUACAUGCAGUCGAGCGGACAGAAGGGAGCUUGCUCCCGGAUGUUAGCGGCGGACGGGUGAGUAACACGUGGGUAACCUGCCUGUAAGACUGGGAUAACUCCGGGAAACCGGAGCUAAUACCGGAUAGUUCCUUGAACCGCAUGGUUCAAGGAUGAAAGACGGUUUCGGCUGUCACUUACAGAUGGACCCGCGGCGCAUUAGCUAGUUGGUGAGGUAACGGCUCACCAAGGCGACGAUGCGUAGCCGACCUGAGAGGGUGAUCGGCCACACUGGGACUGAGACACGGCCCAGACUCCUACGGGAGGCAGCAGUAGGGAAUCUUCCGCAAUGGACGAAAGUCUGACGGAGCAACGCCGCGUGAGUGAUGAAGGUUUUCGGAUCGUAAAGCUCUGUUGUUAGGGAAGAACAAGUGCAAGAGUAACUGCUUGCACCUUGACGGUACCUAACCAGAAAGCCACGGCUAACUACGUGCCAGCAGCCGCGGUAAUACGUAGGUGGCAAGCGUUGUCCGGAAUUAUUGGGCGUAAAGGGCUCGCAGGCGGUUUCUUAAGUCUGAUGUGAAAGCCCCCGGCUCAACCGGGGAGGGUCAUUGGAAACUGGGAAACUUGAGUGCAGAAGAGGAGAGUGGAAUUCCACGUGUAGCGGUGAAAUGCGUAGAGAUGUGGAGGAACACCAGUGGCGAAGGCGACUCUCUGGUCUGUAACUGACGCUGAGGAGCGAAAGCGUGGGGAGCGAACAGGAUUAGAUACCCUGGUAGUCCACGCCGUAAACGAUGAGUGCUAAGUGUUAGGGGGUUUCCGCCCCUUAGUGCUGCAGCUAACGCAUUAAGCACUCCGCCUGGGGGAGUACGGUCGCAAGACUGAAACUCAAAGGAAUUGACGGGGGCCCGCACAAGCGGUGGAGCAUGUGGUUUAAUUCGAAGCAACGCGAAGAACCUUACCAGGUCUUGACAUCCUCUGACAACCCUAGAGAUAGGGCUUUCCCUUCGGGGACAGAGUGACAGGUGGUGCAUGGUUGUCGUCAGCUCGUGUCGUGAAAUGUUGGGGUUAAGUCCCGCAACGAGCGCAACCCUUGAUCUUAGUUGCCAGCAUUCAGUUGGGCACUCUAAGGUGACUGCGGGUGACAAACCGGGAGGAAGGUGGGGGAUGACGUCAAAUCAUCAUGGCCCCUUAUGACCUGGGGCUAACCCCGUGGCUACAAUGGAACAGAAACAAAGGGCUGGCAAAACCGCAAGGUUUAUCCCAUUCCCCCAAAUCUUGUUUCUAAUUU
rnacentral:rRNA from 1 species